UAUGCAUUUUGUUUAUCCAUUCAUCUGUUGGUAGAUACUUAGAUUUCUUUCAUUUUUUGGCAGUUGUGAUUAGUAGGGGUUUUUAAGAAUUCUAUCUAAAAAGCUAUAUAUGAUUAUUUAGUUGAAUGUUCUAAUGGGGCAAAUAAAGGAGGGAAGGGAGGUAGGAAUAUAUAUUGUAUAUAUAUUUUAUAAUUUUGGUUUCUUUAUUGUACACAGGAAUGUGUGAGGCCAUUUUUCUCCUACUUUUGUCAUUUGAUAGACUGCUUACCUUGAACAUUCCAUAUGAAAAGCAGUGUUGCAGUAAAUAUUAUAAUGCGUAGUAAGAGAAAAAUGGAGUUCCUAAUAUGCACAUUUGACAUUCUGAUGGGGUGGGCCCAUUCUAAACUCAUUUGCGUUUUUACCUCUUAAGUGUAUGGUAAUGUGAUAUAAUUAGUUAAGAAGAACUAGAGGGAUACUGAACAAUUUGAAUUGUUCGAUUCACAUUAUCAUUAAGUAAUUUGUAUAUAAGCCAUUCAUUUGAAAAAAAUUAUUUUUGAAAAGGCUAAAUCCAAGAGAUUACUAUAGAAAUGUAAAAGAACAGCAUAAACUAUUUUGCUGUAUUAAAAUAUAGUAGAACAUUAUUCUGUAAUUUGUUAGUCAUGAUUCAGUAAGUGGCUCUGUGACCUUUUCUUUAAGGUAUCAACUCUGAGUUAGAGUAAGUGAGAAUCAACUCAGGAUUCUCCAGGUCUGUAAUAUUGUGUUUUAGAAAGAACUAACAGGGAAAAAAUGGGAAGUUUCAACAACCAAAGUGAUCUUUUUUAACAAACACCUAAAUAAGGCUUUUAUAUUACUCUUGAUCUUCUGUGUUUCUUAGAGAUUUUGUGUGCAAAGAUUUUAUUUUAUACUCUCAGCUGAAAGCUUAAAGCACAUCAGAUUACCCUUAUUAUUAUUUUUUAAAAAGGGUGUUAAAUAUGAGAAUUUCCAAUGAAAUCCCUGUUAUUUCAUUUUAUUAUGAAAGGCAGGUGAGAAUCUUUCUGAUAUUUAAAAAUUGAAGUAAUUUUUUUCCUUAUUAAAAACAUUUUUCUUGUCAGUUCUGUUUAGAAGCAGAAUGGAAACUUGUUCUCAUUUGUACAUAUUUGGCUUGCCCUUUGACUUAACCAGUGGUUGAGUCAUGGACAAAGUAACUUUGUGUACGUAUUUUAAAAGGCAGAUGUCAAGUAAUUACCUUAUAAAGAGUCCCAUUAUAAUUAGAUGUGUGCAUCACGGUUUACUCAUGAACAAAAUGUCAUUUAUAUAAUUUCAUACUUUAAAAGCCACAUGCUUGAGCAGAGCCUAUAUUUCUGCAUUUAAGAAAUGAAAUGGCCUUUUACAAAUUUUAUGUAAAAACAUGUGUAACAACUCUUUUUUUCCAUAGCUCUUCUUUUGGAAUGAUAGCCAUGCUUCCAAUAGAGUGACAGAUUAACUUUUGAUAAUUUCAACAUUAUUGGUAUUUUUUUUGAAUUUAUGCUUACACUUGUUCAUUUGACUUCUCUUUACUUAGGGAUUUUUAACAUUUAAAACAAAAGAGACUGAAGGGAAAGUAGAAAUAGAACAGAUGUUCAGUUUAGCAAUUAAAAAAGAUCUGUACUUGCUGAGAACAGUUUUUUAAAUCAGACCAGCAUUUAGUUACUCUUUGAUUUUUCAUUUGUGGUGUUCAUGCUGUCAUUUUAAAGCUAUCUAAAGACAAAUGCCAAUGGAGAAAAGACGUUGAUGACUGAGACUCCUUCCACAAAUACAAGGCAAGUAUUAUAGGUACAUGGGAGAGUCCCAGAGUAUUUUUGAGUUUGUCCAGAUGCCCCACGAAAUGCUAUGUACCUUGAUUCUGGUUUGCUGGACACCACUGGCAGUAUUAGUAUGUUGCUUCAUCAUAGCAUUUCAGUCUCUGCCUGUUUGCACAUGAACUCUCAGUACCUGAAACUCCUUUCUCACUCCUUUCCACCCAUCUACCUCCAGUGCCUCCAAAGCUUAACCCUCAGAUUCUUCAGUGGCCAGCUUCUUGAUAAAUUUGUCCCAUGUGGACUCUUUUUUACUUUAUAUUCAUUAUAUAUUUAAUCUUUACUCUAUGAUCAUUUGAAAUAUUUUGAAAUCAUGGAAUAACUACUUGUAUGUCUUUUUCAUUUGCAUUGUACAGCACUUAUUGUAGAGAAUGGCUUCCUAACAUGUAUUUUUUGAUAUAAUGCAUUACAUAGACAAGAUACUCAAGAAAUUCAAAACAAAUAGGCAUGAACUGUUUAAGUCAGUCAGUGUAGCUAAUGAAAACUCAAAUUUAGCUUCUUUUGUUUGAAUAUUGUAUGAAAAGUCACACUUCAAAGACAACCAAAGAAAGAUUGCUAUAGAAAGAAAAAAUGUCAAGUCUUUUAAAAGUGAUGUAUUACAUGAAAGCUCUAGAAAACCUAGCAUUUGCUUUGAACCAUUAACCUACCUGGUGAAUAUAAGAAUAAAAAUUCUAAAGUGAAUAUUGAUAUUAUAUCUUUAGCUUAUGUUCCCCAUUGUCUAGAAUGAUAUGCAGUAACUGGGCAUGGAGCAGGGAGGGGAAGUUCAUAAAGCUCCUGCAGCAGAUGUUCCCAGAUCAUACACCCAGGACCCUUGUCAUUUAAUUACUCCUAGAGUUCUUUGUAUUCAUGAACCCUACUUAACAUAUGUGACAUUAUGGCAAUUACCAUGUAACAAUAUCAUUGUGAAUUAAUGCCAUUUUGAUUAAAGGCAAAUUCAUUUAAAAGUUCUACUGAAUUCAUAAAAGCUUGACCAGUAGCACUAGAAACACCGCUACUGUCCACAUGACAGUCAGUGUUUUGAUGCUGAAAGGGAGUGCUGAUGCCCUAAAGUCUGUGCAGCACUGCUGGAGUCCAGUUGCCUAAUAAUAAAGAUGAGGUAUUUGGGACCAAGGAAUGUCAGAUUUAAGACUAGAGCACAGUGCUGGUGUUCUAUGGCCCUGUAAUCAUAGUGCUUCUCUAUAGAGCUAUAGAUAUAACAAAGGGUAAUGGAAUUUGUGAGAGUGGGUGGUAUAAAGAGAGCAAUAACCCUUUCAUUGAUUACUCUCAAUAAUUUGAAGUGGCCUUUUUUUCACCAUUAGGAGAUGAGAGGCAAGGAAUUACCUGAUUAAUGAUGAUAAUGUUAUAUGCUACUUAUGAAAAUGGCUUAAUCUAUUAUGCUGUUAAUUUUUGACCCCUUAGAAACUCAUCAAUAAUAGCAAGUCAUUUUGAUAGUACUUUAAAGCUUUUUGAAAUCACUUUUAUAAUUAUAAUUUUAUAUCUUUAUAAAGCCUGGGAAAUAAUUAGGGAAGGUUUGGUGAGCCCCAUUUAAGGCCUGGGAAUAUUAAUGCACAGAGAAAUUAAGUGAGUGACUUGUGAUCAUGGACUUCUUAUUCUUUGAAUCUAGGACUCCUAACCCUCAGUUUUAUUUUAUGCCCAUUAUCUCAGUUUUAACUUUGUGGUCUUUGCUUUUCUAUGUUCCUUUAGAGAGGGAGCAGAUUUACAGGGAAAAAGGUUAAAAUGCUAGGCAGUCGAUUUGGCAUUUUGCUACCAUUUUUUGAAAAGAAUCAGUUUGGUGAAAGUAUUGAAAUUGGUGACUUAAAUAACAUCUAAGAGUUAGGUGUGCUGCAUUUUUUGUCAGUGAUUUGAAAUACUUGGCAUUACAAUAACUGCUGAAUAAGUGACUUUCUGUUUCUGAUCAUAAGACUAGUAGUUCAGUGGUAAGUCUUGUCAUGUAAGUUGGAAAAAGAAGAUAUAAACGUGGUUUCUUGCACACUGUGUGUAUAAGUGAUAUAAGAAUAAACAAGAGUAGAAAAAGUUCAGUCAUGCAUUCACUCUGCAGAAGGUGGGCCAAGCCAGUGAGUUCAACUAGGGAGCAAGAAGAAAGUUGUAAUGAGAAAAGUGAUUUAAAUAGCAACGAUUUAAACCCUGUCUAUAGCCAGCUAAAUGAAUUACAAUAAAGUCCAGAAUACCAUGAAUUGGAGUAAGGAAACAUCAUGUAAUGGAAAAGGGAGCUCAGCUGUAGGCCUGGCCCUCUUAAUGUUGUGGUCCCUUUGUAGUUGAGUCCUUGAAAAAUCUAAGGUAAAUGCUCUUCUACAAUAUGUGUUUGUAGUUUAGUUGAAGAGGUCUUUAAAGCAAAUGAAAUGCAGAAUAUAUGGCUAAUAUUAUUUAUGAGUACCUUGGUAAAAUAUCUUU